rnacentral:rRNA from 1 species
CGUUAUCCGGAUUUAUUGGGUUUAAAGGGUGCGUAGGCGGCCAGCUAAGUCGGAUGUGAAAUCCCCAGGCUCAACCUGGGAACUGCAUCCGAUACUGAUUGGCUUGAAGCCGGGAGAGGGAUGCAGAAUUCCAGGUGUAGCGGUGAAAUGCGUAGAUAUCUGGAGGAAUACCGGUGGCGAAGGCGGCAUCCUGGACCGGCAUUGACGCUGAGGAGCGAAAGCCAGGGGAGCA